rnacentral:rRNA from 1 species
ACGUAGGGUGCGAGCGUUAAUCGGAAUUACUGGGCGUAAAGCGUGCGCAGGCGGUUUUGUAAGACAGGCGUGAAAUCCCCGAGCUUAACUUGGGAAUGGCGCUUGUGACUGCAAGGCUAGAGUACGAUAGAGGGGUGUAGAAUUCCGCGUGUAGUGGUGAAAUGCGUAGAGAUGCGGAGGAAUACCAGAGGCGAAGGCGGCACCCUGGAUCGUAACUGACGCUGAGGCGCGAAAGCUAGGGUAGCAAACGGGA